UUAAAUUGAAGAGUUUGAUCAUGGCUCAGAUUGAACGCUGGCGGCAGGCCUAACACAUGCAAGUCGAACGGUAACAGGAAGCAGCUUGCUGUUUCGCUGACGAGUGGCGGACGGGUGAGUAAUGUCUGGGAAACUGCCUGAUGGAGGGGGAUAACUACUGGAAACGGUAGCUAAUACCGCAUAACGUCGCAAGACCAAAGAGGGGGACCUUCGGGCCUCUUGCCAUCGGAUGUGCCCAGAUGGGAUUAGCUUGUUGGUGGGGUAACGGCUCACCAAGGCGACGAUCCCUAGCUGGUCUGAGAGGAUGACCAGCCACACUGGAACUGAGACACGGUCCAGACUCCUACGGGAGGCAGCAGUGGGGAAUAUUGCACAAUGGGCGCAAGCCUGAUGCAGCCAUGCCGCGUGUAUGAAGAAGGCCUUCGGGUUGUAAAGUACUUUCAGCGGGGAGGAAGGGAGUAAAGUUAAUACCUUUGCUCAUUGACGUUACCCGCAGAAGAAGCACCGGCUAACUCCGUGCCAGCAGCCGCGGUAAUACGGAGGGUGCAAGCGUUAAUCGGAAUUACUGGGCGUAAAGCGCACGCAGGCGGUUUGUUAAGUCAGAUGUGAAAUCCCCGGGCUCAACCUGGGAACUGCAUCUGAUACUGGCAAGCUUGAGUCUCGUAGAGGGGGGUAGAAUUCCAGGUGUAGCGGUGAAAUGCGUAGAGAUCUGGAGGAAUACCGGUGGCGAAGGCGGCCCCCUGGACGAAGACUGACGCUCAGGUGCGAAAGCGUGGGGAGCAAACAGGAUUAGAUACCCUGGUAGUCCACGCCGUAAACGAUGUCGACUUGGAGGUUGUGCCCUUGAGGCGUGGCUUCCGGAGCUAACGCGUUAAGUCGACCGCCUGGGGAGUACGGCCGCAAGGUUAAAACUCAAAUGAAUUGACGGGGGCCCGCACAAGCGGUGGAGCAUGUGGUUUAAUUCGAUGCAACGCGAAGAACCUUACCUGGUCUUGACAUCCACAGAACUUUCCAGAGAUGGAUUGGUGCCUUCGGGAGCUGUGAGACAGGUGCUGCAUGGCUGUCGUCAGCUCGUGUUGUGAAAUGUUGGGUUAAGUCCCGCAACGAGCGCAACCCUUAUCCUUUGUUGCCAGCGGUCCGGCCGGGAACUCAAAGGAGACUGCCAGUGAUAAACUGGAGGAAGGUGGGGAUGACGUCAAGUCAUCAUGGCCCUUACGACCAGGGCUACACACGUGCUACAAUGGCGCAUACAAAGAGAAGCGACCUCGCGAGAGCAAGCGGACCUCAUAAAGUGCGUCGUAGUCCGGAUUGGAGUCUGCAACUCGACUCCAUGAAGUCGGAAUCGCUAGUAAUCGUGGAUCAGAAUGCCACGGUGAAUACGUUCCCGGGCCUUGUACACACCGCCCGUCACACCAUGGGAGUGGGUUGCAAAAGAAGUAGGUAGCUUAACCUUCGGGAGGGCGCUUACCACUUUGUGAUUCAUGACUGGGGUGAAGUCGUAACAAGGUAACCGUAGGGGAACCUGCGGUUGGAUCACCUCCUUACCUUAAAGAAGC
rnacentral:rRNA from 2 species